UCCGAGCCGGGCUGGGAAACAUGGCGCCGGCUUGGGCUGGGGCGGGGCCCGGGCGAGCUCGCAGCCUGAGGGCGGCUCGAGCUGGCACCGCGGCUAGAGUUCUGGAUUCCCUACCCACGUUUGCAGGCCCUGAGCGCGCGCCCUCCCACGACAGGUGGACUUGCAUCCGGAUUUAUGAGCGGGCUGGGACGGGACGCGCACCGCGGAGUGACUUCUGGUGGUUGCAGUCACGUGGGUGUCCGCGGUCCCUGGGCGCUUUCCGUGUGCCCGCCGGGGGCCGGGACCGGGGCACAGGCUGCGGUAGGGAGGCCUCGGGGCGGCUGCUUCUCUAGCCCCCCCUCCCCCCCCCCCCCCCCGGAGCCCGGGGCCUCGACUGAGAAAGUGCUUGCCCUGGAGGAGAGCGUGAGGUCGCUCCGCCUGACUCUACGGCCUUCGCGGCCACGCUCACCGUCCGCCGUGGCCGCGGGAAGCGUUGCGGCGACACAGCAGACCCCUCCUCAGGGCCUGGAAUUCCUGCCGCGCCGCGCGUGGCUUCAGCUUUAAGGCUUGAUUCUAUCUUCGAAGGACCAACUCUUCGUGUAAAGCCUGUGCCCCGUGCUUGGGGACAGUUUUUCAAUAACGUCCUUAGGAGUGACGCUCUGGGAUUGGUGCCUGCGUUAGAAGUGCCGUUUGAACGUGUGUGAUUUUGAGCAAAUUCCUUGACUUCUCCGAGCCUCGGUUUUGCAUCUCCGAAUGGAAGUAAUCUGGUACUUGAAGGGUUUUGUGAAGAUUAAACGUAGAGCUGUGAGAACACAAGUGCUUGAUCAAUAACUACUUGCAAGCAAGAUACAACUUUACAAAAAUUCCAAGAGCCUCUCUGCAGAGCAGUGAUUUGUGUUGGAGGAGCAGCCAAUAGGAUGGUGGAAGUAGGACUAUUUAUGUGUCUUACCUCUUAUGGUUAAUCAUAGACUUAAUGGGAAAAACUUUGUGGUGGAUAUAUAUAUAUAUAUAUUCUGAAGUUCAAGGAGCCCCAGGAGUGAGAAGACAUGAUUCAGGGUGUCCAUGCAUCUCAGAGAUGUUGUGCCAAAACGUGUGUGCAUGACAGCAUUUUUCUUGGAGAGCUCAUAGGCUAAUUAACUUCUCAACAGCAACUGGAACCCAGAGAGGAAACAUUGCAAAAACAUCAGCCUCAAGCUCUGGAGCACAAUCACUAAGAGAGGAUCAUCCAUGAGUCAAUUCUCAACCUCUCUUUCUCCAGGGAACAAGAAAGCAAAAUACCAGAAUUCCAACCCAAGCAUGAUACGCAAUUCAACUUCGGGUGACAAAAUAUUUAUAGAUGACCCUGGGACAACUAAGGUGAGAGAGGGAGAGCACAAGCAGAGUGAGUGGGAGAGGGAGAGGCAGGCUCCCCACUAAUCAGGGAGCACAAUCAGGAGCUCAACCUCAAGACCCCAGGAUCACCACCCAAAAUGAAGGUAGAUGUUUAACCUCUGAGCUACCUAGGCACACUGGAUGAUAGAUAGGUAUUUAAGAAGGCACUUGUCAUGAGGACUGGAUAUUGUAUGUAAGUGAGGAAUCACUGAAUUCUACUCCAGAAACCAGCAACCAAUAUUGCACUCUAUUUUAACCAAGUAAAGCUUAAGUGAAAAAAAAAAAAAACCUACUAUAUUGAAUAAAAGUAGGGUAAUGGCUCCCCAGGCUUAUUUAUGAUCUCAAGGUAAUUUUAAUGUUUCACUUUUGGGGGAGGAUAUUUGCUGCUAAGUUCUGGUGUAUAAUGAUUUUAAUAGCUUAAGGAACUUCAUUUCUAUUCCAGGUCUGCUGAGAAGUGUUGUUUUUUAUAAAAUUAUAAAUAGGCAUAAAUGUUUAAUAAAA